GACGAACGCUGGCGGCGUGCUUAACACAUGCAAGUCGAACGGAAAGGCCCUGCUUUUGUGGGGCGCUCGAGUGGCGAACGGGUGAGUAACACGUGAGUAACCUGCCCUUGACUUUGGGAUAACUUCAGGAAACUGGGGCUAAUACCGGAUAGGAGCUCCUGCUGCAUGGUGGGGGUUGGAAAGUUUCGGCGGUUGGGGAUGGACUCGCGGCUUAUCAGCUUGUUGGUGGGGUAGUGGCUUACCAAGGCUUUGACGGGUAGCCGGCCUGAGAGGGUGACCGGCCACAUUGGGACUGAGAUACGGCCCAGACUCCUACGGGAGGCAGCAGUGGGGAAUAUUGCACAAUGGGCGGAAGCCUGAUGCAGCAACGCCGCGUGCGGGAUGACGGCCUUCGGGUUGUAAACCGCUUUCGCCUGUGACGAAGCGUGAGUGACGGUAAUGGGUAAAGAAGCACCGGCUAACUACGUGCCAGCAGCCGCGGUGAUACGUAGGGUGCGAGCGUUGUCCGGAUUUAUUGGGCGUAAAGGGCUCGUAGGUGGUUGAUCGCGUCGGAAGUGUAAUCUUGGGGCUUAACCCUGAGCGUGCUUUCGAUACGGGUUGACUUGAGGAAGGUAGGGGAGAAUGGAAUUCCUGGUGGAGCGGUGGAAUGCGCAGAUAUCAGGAGGAACACCAGUGGCGAAGGCGGUUCUCUGGGCCUUUCCUGACGCUGAGGAGCGAAAGCGUGGGGAGCGAACAGGCUUAGAUACCCUGGUAGUCCACGCUGUAAACGGUGGGUACUAGGUGUGGGGUCCAUUCCACGGGUUCCGUGCCGUAGCUAGCGCUUUAAGUACCCCGCCUGGGGAGUACGGCCGCAAGGCUAAAACUCAAAGGAAUUGACGGGGCCCCGCACAAGCGGCGGAGCAUGCGGAUUAAUUCGAUGCAACGCGUAGAACCUUACCUGGGUUUGACAUGGAUCGGGAGUGCUCAGAGAUGGGUGUGCCUCUUUUGGGGUCGGUUCACAGGUGGUGCAUGGCUGUCGUCAGCUCGUGUCGUGAGAUGUUGGGUUAAGUCCCGCAACGAGCGCAACCCUUGUUCACUGUUGCCAGCACGUUAUGGUGGGGACUCAGUGGAGACCGCCGGGGUCAACUCGGAGGAAGGUGGGGAUGACGUCAAGUCAUCAUGCCCCUUAUGUCCAGGGCUUCACGCAUGCUACAAUGGCUGGUACAGAGAGUGGCGAGCCUGUGAGGGUGAGCGAAUCUCGGAAAGCCGGUCUCAGUUCGGAUUGGGAUCUGCAACUCGACCUCAUGAAGUCGGAGUCGCUAGUAAUCGCAGAUCAGCAACGCUGCGGUGAAUACGUUCCCGGG
rnacentral:rRNA from 1 species